rnacentral:sRNA from 1 species
AAGAGAAUGAGUUUUGUCAUAUUAUGUAACCCGUUUCUGUCAGAGGUGAAGGAUGAUCCGUCAAUGAUCGUUUAGAGACGGCGGAUCGUGCCGACACAGAAUUUGACGAACAUAAUUUUCAAGGCGAGUGGGCCUUGCCUUACUUUGGUUGGGCCUGCCCGUCAAUUUUUGGAAGCCUCGAUCUCUCAAUCGAGGUUCUGCCAAACCAAAAGUGGAUACUUUAAAUUGAACAGGAUCAAACCAAUUAAACUGAACCAUAUGAACCAAAUUUGAUGUCAGUCGUUACCAAAUCC